UUCAAUCCCGGGACGGGGUAGGGAUGUGCACACGAUCGCCACGGGUGAUAUGCAGCAUACAUACAACAGGCUGCCAGUGUAUGCUACCACGACUCGCGACAUUAACUCAGGGGCACAAAAUCAGCUCUGCUAAGCUGUGAUGUGCAGGCAUCGUUGAGGUCAGUCAGUCAACACGUAACUCCAAACCCAGAAUUUCGGCUUGCGAAUAGCAAGUAUUGCCUUAUUCGUUGCGAGCUGGCAAGCAGGGCCAGCCAAUGAAGCUCAGUCACCGGCCCUCAAGGAAGCCCCAGAGCUCGCUGAGUUUAUGCCUUGAGAUAUUCGCCGCCCAGAG
rnacentral:sRNA from 2 species